rnacentral:lncRNA from 1 species
AAGCAGGAUCACAUUUAAGGAAGUGUGUGGGGUCCCUGGAUGACACCAGCACCCAGUGCGGCUCUGUCGGGCAACCGCUCCCAAGGUGGGAGGAGUGGGUGUCCCCUGUGUGUCAGUGGGCAACUCCUGCUGAACCCGCAGCUCACUAGGGAGCCUGACAGUGGGGCCAUGCACCUGACACUCCUCUCUGCUUGUGGACCUGGCAAGGCAGGGAGCAGAAAACAGAGCCACUUGAAGGCUUUCUGUCUGCGUCUGUGUGCAGUGUGGAUUUAGUUGUGCUUUUUUCUUGCUGGGAGAGCA